rnacentral:lncRNA from 1 species
AGGCAUUUCUCUGUAUUUGCUCUCAGGAUUAAUAUGUGAAAUGAAAUGUAAUAAGGAAAUGGGAGAAUUCAGGUACAUCCAUUGUAUACUGUUUUGGGCAAGAUGAAUCCUCUACAUGGCAAAAUUUCAGUGUCACCUGAAAGCCACAUGUUCUUCCAAAGAAAUCCAUCGCUUCAGGAAACAUGAGUCAAGGUAUAUGUAUGUAUAUAGUCAUAUAUGUAUUCUAACAAGAAAAUAUUUAUUUUCACACAGGGAAACACUGACUUAUGUUGCUGAAGAACCUGAAGCUAGUAAAAGGUUCUCAGUCUCUGAGCGUGAACCUAAGUGACA